rnacentral:rRNA from 1 species
GAUGAACGCUGGCGGCGUGCCUAAUACAUGCAAGUCGAGCGAACGGACGAGAAGCUUGCUUCUCUGAUGUUAGCGGCGGACGGGUGAGUAACACGUGGAUAACCUACCUAUAAGACUGGGAUAACUUCGGGAAACCGGAGCUAAUACCGGAUAAUAUUUUGAACCGCAUGGUUCAAAAGUGAAAGACGGUCUUGCUGUCACUUAUAGAUGGAUCCGCGCUGCAUUAGCUAGUUGGUAAGGUAAUGGCUUACCAAGGCAACGAUGCAUAGCCGACCUGAGAGGGUGAUCGGCCACACUGGAACUGAGACACGGUCCAGACUCCUACGGGAGGCAGCAGUAGGGAAUCUUCCGCAAUGGGCGAAAGCCUGACGGAGCAACGCCGCGUGAGUGAUGAAGGUCUUCGGAUCGUAAAACUCUGUUAUCAGGGAAGAACAUAUGUGUAAGUAACUGUGCACAUCUUGACGGUACCUAAUCAGAAAGCCACGGCUAACUACGUG